rnacentral:rRNA from 1 species
UACGUAGGGCGCGAGCGUUGUCCGGAAUUAUUGGGCGUAAAGAGCUCGUAGGCGGUCUGUCGCGUCUGCUGUGAAAACUCAGGGCUUAACCCUGAGCUUGCAGUGGGUACGGGCAGACUAGAGUGCGGUAGGGGAGACUGGAAUUCCUGGUGUAGCGGUGAAAUGCGCAGAUAUCAGGAGGAACACCGGUGGCGAAGGCGGGUCUCUGGGCCGAUACUGACGCUGAGGAGCGAAAGCGUGGGGAGCGAACAGG